rnacentral:rRNA from 1 species
CACGUAGGGGCCAAGCGUUGUCCGGAUUUAUUGGGCGUAAAGAGCUCGUAGGCGGUUGGGUAAGUCGGGUGUGAAAACUCUGGGCUCAACUCAGAGACGCCACCCGAUACUGCUCUGACUUGAGUCCGGUAGGGGAGUGGGGAAUUCCUGGUGUAGCGGUGAAGUGCGCAGAUAUCAGGAGGAACACCGGUGGCGAAGGCGCCACUCUGGGCCGGAACUGACGCUGAGGAGCGAAAGCGUGGGUAGCAAACAGG